UUAUCUUGGCUCAGGCGAUUCAAACCAUAUGACUUCGGACAGGUGUCGCUUUCUGGACUUCGCACCUGCGACCGGACAUAUCAGGAUUGGUAAGAGACGUCUGGAAGUUAAGGGAAAGGGAACGACCAUUGUGAAAAUGACUGAGUCCUGUUGUGGUUGAACCCGCUCUUUGUCGAACGCUCUGUGGGUACCUGAGUUAGAUGUAAAACUAAUCGCAAUCAAGCAGGUAGCAAAGAAGGAUGUUACCACCGCGUGUAAAAGGGAUGAGGUUAUUGGAACGCAUGACGAUGGCGACGUCGUGUUCAACUCAAAAGUAGAAGACGAUGUGUAUUACUUGGAGACUAUCCCCGAUGAAAGACAUGUUGCAAAUGUCUCUGUGGGAAACGAUCAGGAGGAGCCUGGCCACAGUGAAGAAGACAUUGAAGUUAUUGAGGCAAAGGCAUAUAGGAGUACUGUAUCGUGGCAUGAGAGGUUGGGUCAUCUGCAUGGAAAUGCAAUGGGAAAAAUCCCUAUAAUGAGCGUGAAAGAAGAUUCCAAGAAAUGUUAUGAAAUGUGUAGAGUCUGUGUGAAGGGAAAAAUGACAAAGGUGCCAUUCCCGAGGAUAGCUUAUCUCAUGUGUCAACGUCCUUUGAAAAUCGUUCACAGUGAUAUCAGUGGCAGAGCUCAGUGCAAAUCGUUAGGUGAAGGAACAACUUCGUAACUUUCAUUGAUGAUUUCUCUCGUUUCAUGCACGUUAGGAUCAAUAGUAGGAAGAACGAAGUAUUCAAGUGCUUCAAAGAAUAUCAGAUGGAAGUGGAGGCUUUACAUCAAUUCAAAAUAAGUGCCUUCCAAACCGACAAUGAAAGUGAAUAUACAGGAACAAAUUUUGAGAGCUACCUGAGGGGGGAAGUUAUUCUGCACAGGAAGACCAUCCCUAGGAACCCCGAGUAAAAUGGCGUUUCAGAACGAGCCAAUAGGACCCUGAUUGAGAUGUCUAGGUGUUUGCUCAUCCAGUCAGGGCUCGCUGACUAUCUGUGGGGAAAAGCCGUAAAUACUGCUUGUCACAUAAGAAACUUAUGCCCAUCCGCUGCUAUCGGAGAUAAAAUACCAUUGGAGUUAUGGAAAGGUAAAGGAUGCGACAUCUAAGGGGAGAUCAACAGGCUAAGGGUAUUUGGAUGCAAAGUUUGGUACCUGAUAAG